AUUCAUAACCACCAAGACUCGAUAAUAAUGACAAUAGGACCACAUGAAAACAUUCAAAACCAUGAUCGGUAAGUAUUAUUCAAAAUCCUCACUUGGGCAAUUCAUCAUACACAUGGAGAUCAUGAACUUGAACAUGGGAAUAUCUUAAACAUGGGAGCAUAGCAUGAUUACAUAACUAAAAUCAUGAAUUGAGGAAUUUACAUGAAAUUCAUUUGAAAUAGGACAUGGG
rnacentral:lncRNA from 1 species